rnacentral:ncRNA from 1 species
UACGAAUAUUGUGGGAGCUUUUUGCUGAGAGUAACUUUGAGUUAGACCAUUUGAACCUGUAGGAUAAUGCCUGCGUAGGGAUGCAAGAGGAACCCCUG